rnacentral:pre_miRNA from 1 species
AUAAUACUCCCUCCGUCCGGAAUUACUUGUCAUCAAAAUGGAUGUGUCUAGAACUAAAAUACAUCUAAAUACAUCCAUUUCAAUGACAAGUAUUUUCGGACGGAGGGAGUAGUAG